CCGAGCCGGGACGUGGCGGUUGACGGCGACGUUAGGAAGUCCGGAGACGCCGGCGGGGGCCUCGGGAAGAGUUAUCUUUUCUGCUUAACGGCCCGCCAACCCUGGAAACGGUUCAGCCGGAGGUAGGGUCCAGCGGCCGGAAGAGCACCGCACGUCGCGCGGUGUCCGGUGCGCCCCCGGCGGCCCUUGAAAAUCCGGAGGAC
rnacentral:rRNA from 2 species